AUGCUACUUUGUAUACAAAUCUAAAUGGUAACAAGAGCUGAAUUAAGAAAAUCGAAAUCUGAUUUAGUAAGAACAUCCCAUGAGGGUCACCUAAUCUUCAACCGAUGCCAUUGCAUUCCAUUCGGAGAUUAAUGGAGUGACAAAACCUUAAAAACAAUUAGAAUUGUUCUACAUUCUUCAUCUCUGUGCUCUCAUGGCGAGUUAUCGUGAUUUCUUCUGCUGUCUUCUUCUUGCAGCAAGUUGUUUUUCUGCCGGAAUCUCUGCUCAAUCCUAUGACUACUCUGCCAGCGUUGAUUGCCUGGCGGAGCCAUUGCCGCCACAAUACGGCGGAGGCAUGGUGCACGAGCCGAAUUUCGACUCUGGCCUGGCCGGAUGGGGCGUGUUCG